rnacentral:miRNA from 1 species
UGCACCAAUAUGAUGCCAGGCG